AUUGAACGCUGGCGGCAUGCCUUACACAUGCAAGUCGAGCGGCAGCGCGGGGGCAACCCUCGGCGGCGAGCGGCGAACGGGUGAGUAAUGCAUCGGAACGUGUCCUCUUGUGGGGGAUAACCAGUCGAAAGACUGGCUAAUACCGCAUGAGCUCGAGAGAUGAAAGCAGGGGACCCGCAAGGGCCUUGCGCGAGAGGAGCGGCCGAUGCCCGAUUAGCUAGUUGGUGGGGUAAUAGCCCACCAAGGCGACGAUCGGUAGCUGGUCUGAGAGGACGACCAGCCACACUGGGACUGAGACACGGCCCAGACUCCUACGGGAGGCAGCAGUGGGGAAUUUUGGACAAUGGGGCAACCCUGAUCCAGCCAUGCCGCGUGUGUGAAGAAGGCCU
rnacentral:rRNA from 1 species